GGAGAGAUGGCUCAGUGGUUAAGAGCACUGACUGCUCUUCCAGAGGUCCUGAGAUCAAUUCACAGCAACCGCA
rnacentral:tRNA from 1 species